GGAGCAGGCGGUCAUGCAGGUCUGAGGUGAAAGCCCGAAGCUAAACUUCGGCGAGCCUUGGAAACCGAAUGACUGGAGUGCGGUAGAGGAACGUGGAAUUCCAUGUGUAGCGGUGAAAUGCGUAGAUAUAUGGAGGAACACCAGUGGCGAAGGCGACGUUCUGGGCCGCAACUGACGCUCAGUCCCGAAAGCGUGGGGAGCAAAUA
rnacentral:rRNA from 1 species